GAUGAACGCUGGCGGCGUGCCUAACACAUGCAAGUCGAACGAAGCACUUUGAAGUUUUCGGACAGAUGGGUGACUGAGUGGCGGACGGGUGAGUAACGCGUGGGUAACCUGCCCUAUACAGGGGGACAACAGUUGGAAACGGCUGCUAAUACCGCAUAAGCGCACAGUACUGCAUGGUACAGUGUGAAAAACUGAGGUGGUAUAGGAUGGACCCGCGUCUGAUUAGUUAGUUGGUGGGGUAACGGCCUACCAAGGCGACGAUCAGUAGCCGACCUGAGAGGGUGAUCGGCACAUUGGGACUGAGACACGGCCCAGACUCCUACGGGAGGCAGCAGUGGGGGAUAUUGCACAAUGGAGGAAACUCUGAUGCAGCAACGCCGCGUGAGGGAAGACGGUCUUCGGAUUGUAAACCUAAGUUAACAGGGACGAUAAUGACGGUACCUGAAGAGAAAGCUCCGGCUAACUACGUG
rnacentral:rRNA from 1 species